rnacentral:tRNA from 1 species
UCCCUGGUAGUCUAGUGGUUAGGGUUUGGAUUUGGCGCUUUCACUGCCACGGCCCGGAUUUGAUUCCCGAUCAGGGAA